GUGGCUAUAAGCAGUCUAACCGCAGAGGGCCGUGUCUUGUUUGUUCUCUGCCCGCGACGGCUUUUAGAAACUCAAAGUUUUAGCCUUAUUUCGGGAUUAGGUCUCUGGUCGGAAGCCUCCUCUAUUGGCUCAGCUGGAGACAGGGAGGGGCCCUUGGAGGAGGACCGGCCCUCCCUCCAUCAGACUCAGCAGCACUUUCAUCAUUUCGUGGGAAUCGGAAGGUGGAGGAGGAAGCGUGGAGGGCAGAAGGGCCUGCCCGGUUGGGGUUCUUCCGCAGGCAGCCGUUAGCCGUCUCUACCCCCCUGACAACAGUGCAGAAUUGUGUAACGGCCCAGUUUCCCCUUUCUCCGCGGUUCCCAGAAGCUUUGAGCCAGCCCCUGCUACCUGAGGGUGUCCGAUUCUGUACCCCGCUGGUUUCUGCAGAACAGCUGUUGGGUGACUGGAUCAGAGGUGACUGACUGUGACAAGCCUGCUGAUAACAGGAGACAGAUAGCAGGAACCCCAAGUGAGACACUCGGAAGGGAGCCGGCCCGAGCUCUGCACUGACGUGCUGGAGGCGGCGGCUGUGGGUCACAGCGCAUUCAGCAGCUCACCACAUCCAGCAGGCACCUCAGAGAUUCUCUCUCUGGCUGGCAGGAUGACCGAAAGGCCCAUCCAUCUGUGUCCCAGUGUCUACAACACAAACACUACAGGGUGCCACGGCAUGUCUGUAAUUUAGCACUUGGAAGGAUGGACAGGACUGGCUUGCAUUCAAAGCCAUAGUGUCCACAGUGAGGCCAAGUGAACAACCUCCUGCUGAGGACAAUAACGAAGGAGAGCUGCAUUCCCAGGUGCCAGAGGCAGGUGGAUCUCCGUGAGUUCAAGGAUGGCCUGGUCUACAUAGUAAGUUCUAAGACAGCCAGGACUGCAGAGAGACCCUGUCUCAAACAAUCAACAAAACAA